CAAUGCAAUAGAGGUUGCGGUAAUCACAAAAUUAAUGUGAACUCACGAAGGUUUUGAUCCUUAAUUUUAGGUUUAUCGCCGAAACAGAAUUGUUUUUCGUGAAACAUUUUUGUUGGGCUGCAGGAACAUAUCCUGUAGACUGUCCUGGUUCGUCCCCAGGGAGCGCUAUAUGAUUU
rnacentral:ncRNA from 2 species